rnacentral:rRNA from 1 species
UACGGAGGGUGCAAGCGUUAUCCGGAUUCACUGGGUUUAAAGGGUGCGCAGGCGGCCAAGUGUGUCAGGUGUGAAAUCCCGAGGCUUAACCUCGGAACUGCGCCUGAAACUACUUGGCUAGAGUACUGGAGAGGGUAACGGAAUUCACGGUGUAGCAGUGAAAUGCGUAGAUAUCGUGAGGAACACCAGAGGCGAAGGCGGUUACCUGGACAGUUACUGACGCUCAGGCACGAAAGCGUGGGGAGCAAAAGGG